rnacentral:rRNA from 1 species
CACUUAGCGUAAGCUAGGUAUACUAAUUUAUUAGUAAGCGAACGAGGGGAAGUGAAACAUCUCAGUACCCUUAGGAAAAGACAUCAAUAGAGAUUCCCCUAGUAGCGGCGAGCGAACGGGGAGGAGCCGACGGAUUUAUAUGUAGAAGAACAGUGUGGGAAAACUGGCCAUAGUGGGUGAUAGCCCCGUAUUCGAAACAUAUAAUGAAGCAUAUUAAGUAGUGCGGAACACGAGAAAUUCUGUAUGAAGAUGGGGGGACCAUCCUCCAAGGCUAAAUACUCCUGACUGACCGAUAGUGAACCAGUACCGUGAGGGAAAGGCGAAAAGAACCCCUGUGAGGGGAGUGAAAUAGAACCUGAAACCGUGUGCGUACAAGCAGUGGGAGCCCACUUGUUGGGUGACCGYGUACCUUUUGUAUAAUGGGUCAGCGACUUAUAUUCUGUAGCAAGGUUAACCGUUAGGGGAGCCGUAGGGAAACCGAGUCUUAAUAGGGCGUAUAGUUGCAGGGUAUAGACCCGAAACCGAGUGAUCUAUCCAUGAGCAGGUUGAAAGUGCCGUAACAGGCACCGGAGGACCGAACCCACUGUCGUUGAAAAGCCAGGGGAUGACUUGUGGAUAGGGGUGAAAGGCUAAUCAAACUCGGUGAUAGCUGGUUCUCCCCGAAAGCUAUUUAGGUAGCGCCUCGGACGAACACCAUUGGGGGUAGAGCACUGUUUCGGCUAGGGGGUCAUACCGACUUACCAAACCGAUGCAAACUCCGAAUACCGAUGAGUGAUAUCCGGGAGACACACGGCGGGUGCUAACGUCCGUCGUGGAGAGGGAAACAACCCAGACCGCCAGCUAAGGCCCCAAAUUCCUAGUUAAGUGGGAAACGAAGUGGGAAGGCAUAGACAGCUAGGAGGUUGGCUUAGAAGCAGCCAUCCUUUAAAGAAAGCGUAAUAGCUCACUAGUCGAGUCGGCCCGCGCGGAAGAUGUAACGGGGCUCAAACUAGGAGCCGAAGCUGCGGAUUUGAAAAUUGUUUCAAGUGGUAGGGGAGCGUUGUGUAAGCCUGUGAAGGUGURUCGUAAGGYAUGCUGGAGGUAUCACAAGAGCGAAUGCUGACGUGAGUAACGAUAAUGCGAGUGAAAAGCUCGCACGCCGGAAGAUCAAGGGUUCCAGUCCAACGUUAAUCGGGGCUGGGUGAGUCGACCCCUAAGGCGAGGCCGAAAGGCGUAGUCGAUGGGAAAUCGGUUAAUAUUCCGAUACUUGUUUAUGAUGUGAUGGAGGGACGGAGAAGGUUAUGCCAGCCUGGCGAUGGUUGUCCAGGUGGAAGGAUGUAGGUAGACGGCUUAGGCAAAUCCGGGCUGUUAAUACYGAGAUCUGAUAGCAAGCUGUACUUGUACAGCGAAGUGGCAAAUACCAUGCUUCCAGGAAAAGCUUCUAAACUAUAGUCAUAAACGAAUCGUACCCUAAACCGACACAGGUGAUCAGGUAGAGAAUACCAAGGCGCUUGAGAGAACUCUGCUGAAGGAACUAGGCAAAAUGGUACCGUAACUUCGGGAGAAGGUACGCUGYYGRWGGUGAAGGACUUGCUCCGUAAGCUWYURRCAGUCGCAGAUACCAGGCUGCUGCAACUGUUUAUUAAAAACACAGCACUCUGCAAACACGAAAGUGGACGUAUAGGGUGUGAUGCCUGCCCGGUGCUGGAAGGUUAAUUGAUGGGCUUAGCGUAUGCGAAGGUCUUGAUCGAAGCCCCAGUAAACGGCGGCCGUAACUAUAACGGUCCUAAGGUAGCGAAAUUCCUUGUCGGGUAAGUUCCGACCUGCACGAAUGGCAUAAUGAUGGCAGCGCUGUCUCCAGCAGAGACUCAGUGAAAUCGAAAUCGCAGUGAAGAUGCUGUGUACCCGCGGCUAGACGGAAAGACCCCGUGAACCUUUACUACAGCUUUACAUUGAACUUUGACCUGACUUGUGCAGGAUAGGUGGGAGGCUUUGAAGCAGAUACGCCAGUAUUUGUGGAGCCAUCCUUGAAAUACCACCCUGGUCAUGUUGGGGUUCUAACUCAGGUAUAACAAUACCGAGGACAAUGUAUGGUGGGU